rnacentral:lncRNA from 1 species
UGAGAGGACAAGGAUGUACACUAAGGUUUUCACUCGUAAAAAGAGAAAUUUAGAUAGAACUUAUCAACAAACUGAUAUCCUGAUGCGAGAUAAAAGACUUAAAAAAGCUUCGAAGUUAGUUUCCUCUCCAUACACGACUCGAGCUAAGUAGAGAAGACAUGUUGACAGCACGAGUGUUGAUCUUUUUCGAGACGUUGACCCGGUUAAGAA